GUACACGCUGUGACUAGCAUAUCAAUAAGCGGAGGAAAAGAAACUAACAAGGAUUCCCCUAGUAACGGCGAGUGAAGCGGGAAGAGCUCAAAUUUGAAAUCUUAAAGGGUUUCCCUUUACGAAUUGUAGUUUAAAGAAGUGUUUUCUGUUGAGGUUUUGGUAAAAGUUCUUUGGAAUAGGACAUCAUAGAGGGUGAGAAUCCCGUAUUUGACCUUUACUUUCAACUUUGUGAUACACUUUCAAAGAGUCGGAUUGUUUGGGAAUGCAGUCCAAAAUGGGUGGUAAAUUUCAUCUAAAGCUAAAUAUUGGCGAGAGACCGAUAGCGAACAAGUACCGUGAGGGAAAGAUGAAAAGAACUUUGAAAAGAGAGUUAAACAGUACGUGAAAUUGUCAAAAGGGAAGCGUUUGACACCAGUGUUGUUUUUCUGAAAAUCAAUUAAAGAACUGUUUAUGCUAAGCUGUUUAGACUUUAUCAGCUAAUCUGUUUAGUUUUGAGCUUUUCUUUAAUGCACUUUUCAGUUAACAAGUCAACAUCAAUUUCUUUUGCUGUAAAAAAGCUUGAGGAAGGUGGCUUGAGAUUCGUCUUAAGUGUUUAUAGCCUCUUGCCUAUGCAGUCGGAGAGAUUGAGGUCUGCAGCGUAGAUCCUUCGGGGCUAAAUGCAUUUGUGCUAAGUUAUAGCAUUUUAUAGACAACUUGUUGACUAUGAUUUGUCUUGUAGCUUACUCGCUUAUGUUAUUUUACCUACGCUUAGGAUGUUGACUGAUAUGUAGUCGUA
rnacentral:rRNA from 1 species